UUAGAGCUAGAAUCAUUUUCCAAAUCUAUAGAAAAUUACCUUCAAAUCCAAUUUACAAUAGCCAUUUCAAACUACUGACCAUAAAUAUGUUCAAUGUAAUCCACCUCUUCUUAAAUAUAAGCUACAUCUUGACUUGAUUUACUUUCUCCAAAAAUCAUGAACAUUCUUAUUCUAUAGAAAUAUUCAACCUACAGCGAUAUACAAGCUAAAAAUUUAAGUAUAUUGAAUCGUGGAUCAUCAAUCACAGGGCAGAUUCCUCUGAAUAGACUAAAAUACCGCCAUCUUUUUUAAUUUUCAAGACCUUAACUACUAAUAAUCUGGG
rnacentral:rRNA from 1 species